UGAAGUUUUCUAAUGUGAUCACCGAGUUUGUUAGAGGGCCAAAUACGAAGCGUGGAUAAUGGAUCGAUCGACGAUUACUGUGGGGCCUGCUAUGGACAUGCCGAUCAUGCACGAUAGUGACCGGUACGAUUUUGUCCGGGAUAUUGGGUCGGGGAACUUCGGGGUUGCCAGACUGAUGAGAGAUAAGGUCACCAAGGAGCUUGUUGCUGUGAAGUAUAUCGAGAGAGGUGAUAAGAUUGAUGAAAAUGUUCAAAGAGAAAUUAUUAAUCACAGGUCCCUCAGGCAUCCCAACAUUGUGAGGUUUAAAGAGGUCAUUUUAACUCCUACCCAUCUGGCCAUUGUGAUGGAAUAUGCCUCUGGGGGAGAGCUUUUCGAGAAAAUAUGCAAUGCUGCACGUUUCAGUGAGGAUGAGGCUCGAUUCUUUUUUCAACAACUCAUAUCGGGGGUUAGCUAUUGCCAUGCUAUGCAAGUAUGUCACCGUGAUUUGAAGUUGGAGAACACUUUACUGGAUGGAAGUGAGGCUCCUCGUUUGAAGAUUUGUGAUUUUGGGUACUCCAAGUCUUCAGUGCUUCAUUCACAGCCAAAAUCAACAGUAGGAACUCCUGCAUACAUUGCGCCUGAGGUGUUGUUGAGGCAAGAAUACGAUGGCAAGAUUGCAGAUGUGUGGUCAUGUGGGGUAACCUUAUAUGUGAUGCUGGUUGGAGCAUAUCCCUUUGAGGAUCCUGAUGAGCCAAAAGACUUCAGGAAGACAAUACAGAGGAUUCUUAAUGUC
rnacentral:misc_RNA from 1 species